AUGGGCUCUCCUCCUCGGCGGCGCAGCUGUUCCUCCAUGGCGUGCGGCGGUACCCGCAUGGAGUGGUCCGAGCUGCCCGCUGACCUCGUGCUCGCCAUCUUCGCGCUGCUCCCCUCCGACGCCGACCGCGUCCGCUUCCGCGCCGUCUGCCAGAGGUGGGCCGCCGUGGCGGCGUUUUGGCGCCCGCGGCCGUGGCUCGUCGGCUCCCGCACCGACCGCUCCGGCCAGGGCGCCGCCAUGUCGUCCUUCUGGCUCUCCCAGGCCGGCCGCCUCGUGCCCUUCGCCGCCGCCGUGCCUCCCGGCCUGGAGUACCUCUCCUCCUCCCACGGCUACCUCGUGCUCUCCGACCCCACGGCCGUCCCCAAGGCGAUUACGCUGGUCAACCCCGUCACCGGCCGGCGCAUCCCGCUCCCUCCCAUCGCCUUCUUCAAGAAGUGGCACGACGUCGCCACCGUCGUGCUGUCGGCCGAUCCGGGCGGGGCCACCGAGUGGGCCGCGGUGGCCGCCGGCUUCCCGGCCGACCGCAUCGCGUACUACAGCUCCGCCACGGGAGCCUGGACGCCCCUGGCUUUCAGCGCCGCCGGGUACGCCGGGGUCGAGCACUACAGGGGGCGGUUCUACGUGGCCUUCAAGAAUCAGCUCUGCGUCAUCUGCGAGCUUGAGUGCGGCGCGCCCCCUGCCGUCAUCCCGCUCGAGCACGUCAACGGCGACGGCGGCGGCGGUGGAUCCGACGACGACGAGCUGGUCCCAGGAAGCGGCAGGUCCGUCGCCCUCGACGCGCACCUGGUGGAGUGCAACGGCCAGCUGCUGCUCGUGUCGGUGCGCGACGAGACGGACUACAACUCGGACAACGACAUUGGCGCGGGCGACGCCGACGCCGACGACGAGGGCAGCACCGCCGGCGGCGGCAGCACGCGCGUGGUCGAGGUGCACAGGGUGGAAUUAGUCGGGGACGGCGCCGUGCGGCUGGUGCGGGUGGAGGACCUCGGUUGGCACGCGCUGUUCCUUGGCCGGAACCAAGCGUUCGCGCUCUCGCCGGCAGACUUCCCGGCGUGCCGCGCCAACUGCGUCUACCUCUUGGAUAGGCAGGGCCACCCUGACGGGGUCGUCAGGGUGGUGAACAUGGAGAGCCAGUGGGCGCGCCUCGAGGAGACGAUCUACCCCGACGACGGCCGGCGAGGUUUGCCCUCGGUCGGCUGGGCUCGCCGUGGCUGGUUCUUUCCAAAUUAUUAG
rnacentral:rRNA from 1 species